rnacentral:lncRNA from 1 species
CAAAAGGGGAUUUUAAUGCCAAUUUUAAAAAAAUUUAAGAGUUUUUGUGACUAUUUCUCCAAACUUUGGAGAUAUAGUUAUCCUUUUCUCAUUUUAAUACUUUCUAUCACGUAAAAUAUACUCAAAUCCAAUCUUUAGUAAGGUUUGCAAACAAGCUAAGCUAGCUCAGCCUUGGCUAAGCCCAAGUCCCACCCUCAUAGAGUUGGGUCACGCUCAGCAUUGGGCCUCUAAAAAAAAAAUCAUGAUUUAAAAUUUUAAAAUUAAAUUUUAAGUUAUUGAAAAUUGUACUUAAAUAAUUUUAAGUUUCAAAAAGUCAAAGUCUAACUCUAGUGGCAUGGAAUAAAGAGUAAUAUUCUUAAGGCUCUAGUCUUAAGUUUGAACUUCAAUGGAUGCAUGAGUUAAUAAAAAAAAAGUUUAAAAAACAUUCAAUCAUAAGGAUUUCUUAGGUUUGAUAUAGUUAGACAAAACAAACAAGGGUGUAUCAAGUAUUUAGGUGGAAUUUAAAAAAUAAUUAAAAUUGAGAUAUGGCGAAGCUAGCUUCUUUUUUUUUUUCCCGAAAGCCUUGGCUUAUGCCCUUAGCGGGUGGGCCGAGAUAACUUCUUUCGGGCCUGGGUUGGGCUGGCCCAGACCUUUUUACACACUUUUAGGUCAUAUGGAUCUAACUAGACCAAAACAUGUGCAACACCCUUUUAUUUCUUUAUUAGUGAUCAUGGUAAUUAUUAAUAAACAAAUAGGAAUUGUUAUUUCUUUUAAUUUGUUAAUUAGGAGAAUUUUGGGAAUGAUUUAGGCUUUUUUAAUUUACUAGGGUUUUUCAAGGGUUCCCUGUAGAAUACAUUUUUUUUUUUCAAUUUCCUUCUCUCAACCUUAAUUUCUACACUAUCAUAUCUUUCUCUCAGCAACCUUUUUUGCUUCUACAAUAUAGGUGGUCUAGACGGGUUGGAGCCCGGUCUAGCCCUGGGAAAAAUUCAUUAAUACCCCUUAAGUUUUCUUAUUUUUCAUCUAAUAUUAUAGUUUUUAUUUUCUUUUCAAUCAUGUUCCCAAUUCAACUCUUUUUAUUGUUUUACAAGUAGAGUUAGAUAUUUGUAUUACCACAUGAUUAAAUUAUAUAUU